GAGACACUCCCUUCUCCCAAUCUUGGAAUGAAUUGCUGUUUUCUAAUGCUGAGUGAUGGGUUUUAUUGGUCAGCAAAAGAUGAUAGAAUGUGAUGUUUUAGGACAAUGUACCUGGACCACAACCGUUUGCCCUUAAUACUUGUGGUAAUACGAACUUGGACUCCUGCUAAUGGACCGGCUUGCCAAGUACAGGCCUUGAUCAGGAAUAAGUUACACAUCAAUUGUUGGACAUAAAUUACGGAAAGUAAACUCUUCGGACUUUAUAAAACACAGGCCUUGAGAAGAGCCUGGGAUUUUUGGCCUCUGGAGUCCCUCUCUACUUUUGCAGAAGUUCUUUCGUUCUUGGCUUUUCCUGUUAUCCAUCCAACUUUCUCCAACUGGGAAGUAGAUGAGGGCUUCCUGCUCCAGUCUCACAUGCUGUUUAGUGUCCACAAAAGCCAAGAGUUUUGCUUCUGUGAGAACUUAGCUGCAACUCCUUGCUCAAUAAAAAUUAUGCAACAUAAAAA